AGAGUUUGAUCAUGGCUCAGAACGUACGCUGGCGGCACGCCUAACACAUGCAAGUCGAACGCAGUAGCAAUACUGAGUGGCGAACGGGUGAGUAUAAUGUAGGUAUCUGCCUUUUGGUUUGGAAUAACACGAGGAAACUUGUGCUAAUACCGGAUAAGCCUUCACAGGGAAAGUUUUAACGCCAAAAGAUGAGCCUGCACUUGAUUAGCUAGUUGGUAAGGUAAUGGCUUACCAAGGCUACGAUCAAUAGCUGUUCUUAGAGGAAGAUCAGCCACAUUGGGACUGAGACACGGCCCAAACUCCUACGGGAGGCAGCAGUGGGGAAUCUUGCACAAUGGGGGAAACCCUGAUGCAGCGAUGCCGCGUGAGUGAAGAAGGCCUUUGGGUUGUAAAGCUCUUUCGUCGGGGAAGAAAAUGACUGUACCCGAAUAAGAAGGUCCGGCUAACUUCGUGCCAGCAGCCGCGGUAAUACGAAGGGACCUAGCGUAGUUCGGAAUUACUGGGCUUAAAGAGCACGUAGGUGGUUAAAAAAGUUGGUGGUGAAAUCCCAAGGCUUAACCUUGGAACUGCCAUCAAAACUUUUUAACUAGAGUGUGAUAGAGGAAAGUGGAAUUUCUAGUGUAGAGGUGAAAUUCGUAGAUAUUAGAAAGAACACCAAUUGCGAAGGCAACUUUCUGGAUCAUUACUGACACUGAGGAGCGAAAGCAUGGGUAGCGAAGAGGAUUAGAUACCCUCGUAGUCCAUGCCGUAAACGAUGUGUGCUAGACGUUGGAAAUUUAAUUUUUCAGUGUCGCAGCAAAAGCGUUAAGCACACCGCCUGGGGAGUACGACCGCAAGGUUAAAACUCAAAUGAAUUGACGGGGACCCGCACAAGUAGUGGAGCAUGUGGUUUAAUUCGAAGAUACGCGCAGAACCUUACCAACACUUGACAUGUUCGUCGCGACUCUAAGAGAUUAGAGUCUUCGGUUCGGCCGGACGAAACACAGGUGCUGCAUGGCUGUCGUCAGCUCGUGUCGUGAGAUGUUGGGUUAAGUCCCGCAACGAGCGCAACCCCUACUUUUAGUUGCUACCAUUUAGUUGGGCACUCUAAAAGAACUGCCAGUGAUAAGCUGGAGGAAGGUGGGGAUGACGUCAAGUCCUCAUGGCCCUUACGUGUUGGGCUACACACGUGCUACAAUGGUACUUACAGAGAGAAGCGAAGAGGCGACUCUAAGCCAAUCCCAAAAAAGUACCUCAGUUCGGAUUGUACUCUGCAACUCGAGUACAUGAAGCUGGAAUUACUAGUAAUCGCGGAUCAGCGCGCCGCGGUGAAUACGUUCCCGGGUCUUGUACACACCGCCCGUCACACCAUGGAAGUUGGUUACACCUUAAGGCAAAGUGUAAAAUCUUUGACUACGGUACGAUCAGCGACUGGGGUGAAGUCGUAACAAGGUAGCC
rnacentral:rRNA from 1 species